rnacentral:tRNA from 1 species
GGAGCUGUGACUCAGCAGUAGAGCAUCUCCUUUGCCUGCAGAAGUUCCCAGGUUCAAUCCCUGGCAUCUCCA